CUUUGAACCUUUUGUCGCUCCACCACCUCCACUGUUCCCCACUGAUCUCAAGAUUCUCCACCAGAUUGCUUCCCUCUCCUCUCAUAACUUAUAAGUUACCUCCACUAACAAUGGUGCCUAUAAGUUUCCUAUAAGUUGCCACCAUUUUUUCUCUCAUAACUCAUAACAAUGGUGCCUUUUCAUCUUAAGUUAUUGUCAUCUUAUCGCCUCCACCAAUCUCCACGGGGCCACCUCCUUCCCUUAUCUUGUAACUUAAUCAGAGGAUGCGCUUUACAAGGAGCUAUGGAGGUGUGCAUGCAUUAGGCCACUGGUGCUGGUGACGGUGCCUCAUGUGGGAGAGAGGGUAUUCUAUUUUCAUUUGCAUGUUUUCCUUUUAAAAUUAUAAGAAACUACCCAUUUGGUAAUAUUCUCUUUCAUGUUCAAAAUCGCACAUUUUGUAUGAUUUGAAUGGUUUUGUUUGUAUGAUUUAGUAUUCUAUAAUGAAAUAUUAAAUUUUUUCAAACUA